CCUACGGGAGGCAGCAGUGGGGAAUAUUGCUCAAUGGGGGCGACCCUGAUGCAGCGAAGCCGCGUGAGUGAAGAAGGCUUUCGGGAUGGAAAGCUCUAUCAGCAGGGGAGAAAAUGCCGGUACAUGUUUAAGAGUCCCCGGCUAACUACGGGCAAGCAGCCGCGGGCAUGGGGAGGGGGCAAGCGUUAUUCGGAUUUAAUGGGUGUAUAGGUAGCGUAGACGGGAGCACAAGGCUGGAGUGAAAUGGCGGGGCUUAACACCGGGACUGCGUUGGAAACUGUCCAGCGAGAGUGGAGGAGAGGUAAGUGGAAUGCCUAGUGUAGCGGUGAAAUGCGUAGAUAUUAGGAGGAACACCAGUGGCGAAGGCGGCAUACUGGA
rnacentral:rRNA from 1 species